GUGAGGAAUAUUGGUCAAUGGGCGCGAGUCUGAACCAGCCAAGUAGCGUGAGGGAUGACUGCCCUAUGGGUUGUAAACCUCUUUUGCAGGGGGGUAAAGUGGUUCACGUGUGGACCAUUGCAAGUACCCUGCGAAUAAGGAUCGGCUAACUCCGUGCCAGCAGCCGCGGUAAUACGGAGGAUCCGAGCGUUAUCCGGAUUUAUUGGGUUUAAAGGGAGCGUAGGCGGGGGUUUAAGUCAGCUGUGAAAUGCCGUGGCCCAACCAUGGAACUGCAGUUGAAACUGGACCUCUUGAGAGUACAUAAGGAAGGCGGAAUUCGUGGUGUAGCGGUGAAAUGCAUAGAUAUCACGAAGAACUCCGAUUGCGAAGGCAGCUUUCCGGGGUACAUCUGACGCUGAAGCUCGAAAGUGCGGGAAUCAAACAGGAUUAGAAACCCUAGUAGUCC
rnacentral:rRNA from 1 species